GGGAGGGAGGGAGGGAGGGAGGGAUGGAGGGAGGGUAGGGCAUGAUUCGCUCACGAUUAGCUCGCUUAGGUGUUUUGUACCGGUGUUAGAACGUGUACGUACGUUUGAAGUUUGCGUGCAACUGCGAUGACAAGAUUAUUUUCCGUGCUGUUCAAACUUCAAUUUCAAUUUGCCGCUUAUGCUUCACUUAUCGUCGACGCGUGAUGGAGUAGCGCACUGCGAAUCGUACGAGAGAUUCACGAGAUUCACGAGAGCGAACCGAGACGAAGAAAGAGGGAACGUUGCGAUGGAGAGAGAAAAAGGGAGAGAGAGAGAGAGAAAAAAAAAAAAAAAAUGACGCGUGUAAAAUUUCGCGAUCGCAAGUGAAACCUUGCAUCGAGAAUAAUGGAUGAUAACGCGCUGGUUGAGUUGGUCGGUAUGAUAUUAUGCAGUGAUACUGAACGCAAUAAUAGAAAUGCUAGGAGUUAUAUGCAGAUUAAGAAAGAAAAAUGGAAAAAGAGAGAGAGAGAGAGAAAUGAAAGAAUCGAUAUCGAAUGUUUUCGCAUUGAAAUAUAUUAAAAUGGAUUAUUCUCUGUUUCAUGUACACAUGUUGCGCUCUGCGGAGUGGAUAAUCAAAUCAGUAUUCAGAAUCAAAAAGAUCAACGGUAAUGAGCGUUUACCGUUUGCAUAUUAGAGAUUCAUUGAACAAUGUAAAGUUAAACCGGGAAUCACGAUUCAAUGACAAUAUAGCUGUAUUUUCCCCCAACAUGCAAGGAAUUGUUUUCAUCGUGCCGGAACAGAAUUUGUAAUAUAUUAUAUUAUAGUGACGCUCUACUGUCAACUACGUCCGUCGUUUUCUCAAGCCCCGGGAUAUUGUUCUCGUAUACGUUCAUCUUCUUUUUCUGUCGAAGCAAUCACAACUAUCGCUGUAGCAACGCCACGCUUAUCCUGUUUAUCGUGUCGCGAAUUUUUAAGGAUCGAGCCGAAUGAGUUAACGAGCAAACGGUCGGCUCUUCGGUACACAGAGGGGUUAUACAUAUAUAAAGAAUUAUAUACUUACAGUUGACUCUAUAACGAAUUGUAAAAGUAUUAAAGUAGUAUUAAUCACAAGACUGAACAAAAAAUGAAAUAAUAGUUGCUGUGUGGUUAAAUUGUAGGAAAUAUCUAAAGAAGCUAGAUUUAUAUAUAAUUUUCUGAUUAACCUCUGUUCUUUUUAUAACGGAGAGACGUUUCUCUCCCUUUUAUAUAUAUAUAUAUAUAUAUUAUUUUUUUUUUUCUGCAUUCCGUGUAUCGAACGUGUUCUGUGUCUUCUAUAAUAUCGUAGAUAUGACGAGACGUUGAAAGCAUAAAAAAGGAAAAAAAAAAAAUGAUAAAAAAAAAGAAAGAAAAAAGAAUAUUACGUAUUUGCUCUGCUUGGUAAAUUCGAAAGAUACCAAGUCAUUCUGUCCAAGCUCUCGAAUUUCAUAUGCUUAAUUAUACGUUAUACGAGAACUCGUAGUCUCCAUACGAAUGAUUUAUAGAACACGACACGAAGGAUACUUAAUCGAGCGAAAAAUGAAUAUUAUCGAAAAUCAAGAUUAUCCGAGAAUAGAAUUAAACGAUCGAUCUUUAUAUUACACUCGCGUGGAUCGUAGAGUCCCAGCGGAAGUUAUUAGAUCGUAAUUUCUUAAAAAGAAAAGAAAAAGGUAUAAUCAUUAAGAUAAAGCCGACAUCGUACCAUACAAUUUUCAAGUAAAUAUUGUAGAACGUUAAGAGGAAUAAUAUAUAUAUAUAUAUAUACAAUAUAUAGAGAUGCGUGAACGAGAUUUGUGUGUUCACGGAUUUUUACGCAACUCUAUUAUAUUGAUAAUGAUUGCCAAUCGAGAAUAACAAGUUUCGAUGCGAUCGAAGUAUGUAAGUACUUAUAUAUGCGUUUAAAUAAGAUCGCGUUUAUCGAUUCUAGCGAGUUGUAUAAGGAUUGGUAAUCGAUUCUAUAAACACAUGCUAGUCAAAAUUAAGUACUAUUGUAGCGAUAAUAUAUUUUUACUGUAAAAGGAACUAUCGCGAGCAGGUUUUCAAGUCUGGCCACGCGUUUCGCUGUACGGAAGGAGAUAGUUCGAGCGACACGAUUGUCUGCGAAUAGAAUUCCCCCCUUUUUUCUCUCUUUCCUUAUCCAUUCCACAUUGAUUCGCGACGUACGUGACAAUCGAUCGAGACAACGCUUCGAAUUUUACAAUAUUACAAAGGCACAGUAACGAUUGCAUUUAUUAUAAGACUUGUUAAAUUAACGUAGCUUCUAGUCAAUGAAGAGGAUCAAACUAUUUAAAAAUGGUAAAGAAAUAUUUAAAUUCAAUCGUGUAUUCGCGUAUGUUGCGAUUCGAUCGAUCUCCGAAUCAGAAUGCCCUCCAGGCAUGACGAGCUUGAGACGAAGUUACGGAAUUGCUGGAAGUCAGGGUGACGCGUGCCAGUCUUCGGGCCUCGAACAACCAUAUCUAAGAAUUUACUAACGGUAAUAUUAUUGAUCACGAAUAGCGAGUAACGUUUUCAAGGGUAUUAUAUACAAUAUAUAAUAUGCUCUGUUUAUAAUUUCUGUACAUAUAGUCGGUGUGUGGCAUUAGCGUUAACCAAGGUUUCUUAUUUUGUGAUCCGAGAUAAUCGUCGCUGGAGAUGGAGAACGAUUUUUACUUGUGUGUGUAUAUAUAUAUAUAUAUACUAUAUAUUAUAUACGAAGCAAAAGGAAAAAUGGAAUGGCUAGAAAUCGAUAUACUAGUGUGAUGAAAUGCGCUCGAAUCGUCUUUGGAGCCAUUAUCGCGUUUCGAUUGAUUUCGCUCGCGAGUUGUACGAUGCUGCAUCGUAUAAUUGCACGUUCAACGGUGCGGUAAUUGAUUCUCGAGAGACAAAGAGGAGAGAAGAGAAGAGGAGUGCGAGAGAGAACUGCGAGCGAUUCGUAUUGUCGUCGUCAGGGAUUAUUUAUGCGAUACGAGCAAUCUGAAACGCUUUUAACUCACAUAUACACAUACAAAUUGUAGCAUACGAAGAAUACAACCAAAAAAAAAAA